AUUGAACGCUGGCGGCAGGCCUAACACAUGCAAGUCGAGCGGAUGAAGGGAGCUUGCUUCUGGAUUCAGCGGCGGACGGGUGAGUAAUGCCUAGGAAUCUGCCUGGUAGUGGGGGGCAACGUUUCGAAAGGAACGCUAAUACCGCAUACGUCCUACGGGAGAAAGCAGGGGACCUUCGGGCCUUGCGCUAUCAGAUGAGCCUAGGUCGGAUUAGCUAGUUGGUGAGGUAAUGGCUCACCAAGGCGACGAUCCGUAACUGGUCUGAGAGGAUGAUCAGUCACACUGGAACUGAGACACGGUCCAGACUCCUACGGGAGGCAGCAGUGGGGAAUAUUGGACAAUGGGCGAAAGCCUGAUCCAGCCAUGCCGCGUGUGUGAAGAAGGUCUUCGGAUUGUAAAGCACUUUAAGUUGGGAGGAAGGGUUGUAGAUUAAUACUCUGCAAUUUUGACGUUACCGACAGAAUAAGCACCGGCUAACUCUGUGCCAGCCGCCGCAGUAAUAC
rnacentral:rRNA from 1 species